rnacentral:rRNA from 1 species
CCUUACCAGGCCUUGACAUGCAGAGAACUUUCCAGAGAUGGAUUGGUGCCUUCGGGAACUCUGACACAGGUGCUGCAUGGCUGUCGUCAGCUCGUGUCGUGAGAUGUUGGGUUAAGUCCCGUAACGAGCGCAACCCUUGUCCUUAGUUACCAGCGCGUUAUGGUGGGCACUCUAAGGAGACUGCCGGUGACAAACCGGAGGAAGGCGGGGAUGACGUCAAGUCAUCAUGGCCCUUACGGCCUGGGCUACACACGUGCUACAAUGGUCGGUACAAAGGGUUGCCAAGCCGCGAGGUGGAGCUAAUCCCAUAAAACCGAUCGUAGUCCGGAUCGCAGUCUGCAACUCGACUGCGUGAAGUCGGAAUCGCUAGUAAUCGUGAAUCAGAAUGUCACGGUGAAUACGUUCCCGGGCCUU